AGCGAACGCUGGCGGCAGGCUUAACACAUGCAAGUCGAACGCAUCCUUCGGGGUGAGUGGCAGACGGGUGAGUAACACGUGGGAACGUACCCUUCGAUCUGGGAUAACUUCGGGAAACUGGAGCUAAUACCGGAUACGCCCCUUUGGGGAAAGGUUUACUGUCGAAGGAUCGGCCCGCGUCUGAUUAGCUAGUUGGUGGGGUAACGGCCUACCAAGGCGACGAUCAGUAGCUGGUCUGAGAGGAUGAUCAGCCACACUGGGACUGAGACACGGCCCAGACUCCUACGGGAGGCAGCAGUGGGGAAUAUUGGACAAUGGGCGCAAGCCUGAUCCAGCCAUGCCGCGUGAGUGAUGAAGGCCUUAGGGUUGUAAAGCUCUUUUGUCCGGGACGAUAAUGACGGUACCGGAAGAAUAAGCCCCGGCUAACUUCGUG
rnacentral:rRNA from 1 species